rnacentral:rRNA from 1 species
AAACUUUCAACAACGGAUCUCUUGGCUCUGGCAUCGAUGAAGAACGCAGCGAAAUGCGAUAAGUAAUGUGAAUUGCAGAAUCCAGUGAAUCAUCGAAACUUUGAACGCACAUUGCGCCCGCCAGCAUUCUGGCGGGCAUGCCUGUUCGAGCGUCAUUU